rnacentral:rRNA from 1 species
CCUACGGGUGGCAGCAGUGGGGAAUAUUGGACAAUGGGGGGAACCCUGAUCCAGCCAUGCCGCGUGUGUGAAGAAGGCCCUCGGGUUGUAAAGCACUUUCAGUGAGGAAGAACGCCUGGUGGUUAAUACCCAUCAGGAAAGACAUCACUCACAGAAGAAGCACCGGCUAACUCCGUGCCAGCAGCCGCGGUAAUACGGAGGGUGCGAGCGUUAAUCGGAAUUACUGGGCGUAAAGCGCGCGUAGGUGGCUUGAUAAGCCGGUUGUGAAAGCCCCGGGCUCAACCUGGGAACGGCAUCCGGAACUGUCAAGCUAGAGUGCAGGAGAGGAAGGUAGAAUUCCCGGUGUAGCGGUGAAAUGCGUAGAGAUCGGGAGGAAUACCAGUGGCGAAGGCGGCCUUCUGGACUGACACUGACACUGAGGUGCGAAAGCGUGGGUAGCAAACAGGAUUAGAUACCUUUGUAGUC